ACGUCAGUAGUGCAACGGGUUAGAGCACGCACCUCCGAAUCCAGUGAGACGCGGGUUCAAGUCCCGCCUCACGCA